rnacentral:rRNA from 1 species
AUACGGAGGGGGCUAGCGUUGUUCGGAAUUACUGGGCGUAAAGCGCGCGUAGGCGGUCCGCGUAGUCAGGCGUGAAAGCCCCGGGCUCAACCUGGGAACUGCGUUUGAUACUGGCGGACUAGAGUCCGGGAGAGGGUAGUGGAAUUCCCAGUGUAGAGGUGAAAUUCGUAGAUAUUGGGAAGAACACCAGUGGCGAAGGCGGCUACCUGGACCGGUACUGACGCUGAGGUGCGAAAGCGUGGGGAGCAAACAGGAUUAGAAACCCCAGUAGUCC